rnacentral:rRNA from 1 species
CCAGCAGCUGCGGUAAUUCCAGCUCUAAUAGCGUAUAUUAAAGUUGUUGCAGUUAAAAAGCUCGUAGUCGGAUGUCGGGCUCGGGCAGGCUGUCGGCUUCGGUCGGACGGCAGGCUCGGGUCUUUCUGCCUGAGGAACCCGUGGCACUUAACUGUGCGGCGUGGGGACGCAGGCCGUUUACUUUGAAAAAAUUAGAGUGUUCAAAGCAGGCCUACGCUUGAAUACAUUAGCAUGGAAUAAUGGAAUAGGACUUUGGUGGUCUAUUUUGUUGGUUUGCACGCCAAAGUAAUGAUUAAUAGGGAUAGUUGGGGGUAUUCGUAUUCAAUUGUCAGAGGUGAAAUUCUUGGAUUUAUGGAAGACGAACUACUGCGAAAGCAUUUACCAAGGAUGUUUUCAUUAAUCAAGAACGAAAGU